GCCAUUGGAGUCGUCAUGUUCCCGAGGGUGCUGCUCUUGAAGCUGGGUGGAAUACCAAGUUUGCUGAAUAUGAGAAGAAGUACCCAGAGGAAGCUGCAGAACUCAAAUCCAUUACUACUGGUGAACUACCUGCUGGCUGGGAGAAAGCUCUUCCUGUAAGUGGUCAUUUUCAUCUUUCUCUCUCUUAUUUCAAGCUGAGUUCAACUGCUUUUGGUUUGGGCUAUCCUCAUAUUAAGUUCUUAGCUUUGGGGUGUGGUUUUUGAAUUUUUGCCUCGUAUAGUAGACGAGAGAGGUUAUUUCAUUUGUACUCCUGUACUUUUAUCUUCCCUGAUCAGUCACAGUUCCUCAGUCAUCCUUUUAUUCUUGCUCAAAAUUGAUACUCGUCUACUUUUGAAACAUGUGAAUCUUUCCUAAUCCAGUUAUUUGCUUGCUUUCUCAAUCUCAGACCUACACACCUGAAAGUCCAGCGGAUGCCACCAGAAACCUGUCCCAACAAAACCUGAAUGCUCUUGCCAAGGUUCUUCCUGGUUUCCUUGGUGGUAGUGCUGAUCUUGCCUCAUCAAACAUGACCCUCAUGAAAAUGUUUGGUGACUUCC
rnacentral:lncRNA from 1 species